rnacentral:misc_RNA from 1 species
GAUGAAGAACGUAGCGAAAUGCGAUAAGUAAUGUGAAUUGCAGAAUUCAGUGAAUCAUCGAAUCUUUGAACGCACAUUGCGCCCGCCAGUAUUCUGGCGGGCAUGCCUGUUCGAGCGUCAUUUCAACCAUCAAGCCUUCGCUUGUGUUGGGGCCCCGCGGCUGCCGCGGUCCCCUAAAUCCAGUGGCGGGCUCGUCGUCGUACCGAUCGCAGUAGACAUCCUCGCUCCGGGAACCCGACGGGUGCCGGCCGUGAAACUCCCCCACAUCAAGGUUGACCUCGGAUCAGGUAGGAAUACCCGCUGAACUUAAGCAUAUCAAUAAGCGGAGGA